rnacentral:rRNA from 1 species
CCUACGUGCGGCAGCAGUGGGGAAUAUUGCGCAAUGGGCGAAAGCCUGACGCAGCGACGCCGCGUGAAGGAUGAAGGUCUUCGGAUCGUAAACCUCUGUCAGCAAAGAAGAACGGUCACUGUGCUAAUCAUCAGUGAAUUGACUUUACCUGCAGAGGAAGCACCAGCUAACGCCGUGCCAGCAGCCGCGGUAAUACGGAGGGUGCGAGCGUUAAUCGGAAUGACUGGGCGUAAAGCGCUCGUAGGCGGUAUGUCAAGUCAAGGGUGAAAUCCCCGCGCUCAACGUGGGAACUGCCUUUGAAACUGGCAAACUGGAGUGGGUUAGAGGAUAGCGGAAUUCCAGGUGUAGGAGUGAACUCCGUAGAUAUCUGGAGGAACAUCAGUGGCGAAGGCGACUAUCUGAAACAUAACUGACGCUGAGGAGCGAAAGCGUGGGUAGCAAACAGGAUUAGAUACCCGAGUAGUC